rnacentral:rRNA from 1 species
GAAUAUUGCACAAUGGGCGAAAGCCUGAUGCAGCGACGCCGCGUGGAGGAUGAAGGCCUUCGGGUCGUAAACUCCUGUCUGGGGGGAUGAACACUGACAGUACCCCCGGAGGAAGCCCCGGCUAACUACGUGCCAGCAGCCGCGGUAAUACGUAGGGGGCGAGCGUUGUCCGGAAUUACUGGGCGUAAAGCGCGCGCAGGCGGCUUGUUAAGUCAGGUGUCAAAAUGCGGGGCUCAACCCCGUAUCGCACUUGAAACUGGCAGGCUUGAGUGCAGGAGAGGGAAGUGGAAUUCCUAGUGUAGCGGUGAAAUGCGUAGAUAUUAGGAGGAACACCAGUGGCGAAGGCGACUUCCUGGACUGUAACUGACGCUCAGGCGCGAAAGCUAGGGGAGCAAACAG